AUUGAACGCUGGCGGCAGGCCUAACACAUGCAAGUCGAGCGGAUGAAGGGAGAUUGCUCCUGGAUUCAGCGGCGGACGGGUGAGUAAUGCCUAGGAAUCUGCCUGGUAGUGGGGGAUAACGUCCGGAAACGGGCGCUAAUACCGCAUACGUCCUGAGUGAGAACGUGGGGGAUCUUCGGACCUCACGCUAUCAGAUGAGCCUAUGUCGGAUUAGCUAGUUGGUGGGGUAAAGGCCUACCAAGGCGACGAUCCGUAACUGGUCUGAGAGGAUGACCAGUCACACUGGAACUGAGACACGGUCCAGACUCCUACGGGAGGCAGCAGUGGGGAAUAUUGGACAAUGGGCGAAAGCCUGAUCCAGCCAUGCCGCGUGUGUGAAGAAGGUCUUCGGAUUGUAAAGCUCUUUAAGUUGGGAGGAAGGGCAGUAAGUUAAUACCUUGCUGUCUUGACGGUACCAACAGAAUAAGCACCGGCUAACUUCGUG
rnacentral:rRNA from 1 species